UUUAAUAUGGCAGAUAAGUGCAGUAGAUUUAAAUUCUAUAAAUAAAGUUAUUUUUUAUUAAAA
rnacentral:tRNA from 1 species